AGUUUUGGCGUCUGAUCUCGCUGUCCUUCUGCGCAGGUACUUCGGUCAUGGUGCAGCCAAAGCCGUAGCAGAGGGUUAGCCCUGGUGAGAGGAGAACCUCAUGAAUGAGAAGAUCACUUCAUUUUUAAUAGCCCAAGGCUGGGCCAAAUGCAGGGCAUGAGGAAGAAAGGAUGUGUUAGAGGAACAGGGAAGACUGAGACAGCAAGUGCAAGAAGAGGGUGCUGCAGAACCUGCCCGUGCUGCCCAGCGGAGACCCAGCACCAGACCAGCGAGCCUGGCACUGGCCUUGGAGCACCUGGGUCCUGUGCGGUCCAGGGAGACCUUGGUGUGACUUUCCCGUGCUGCCACCAGCCGGCUGCCACCAGCACUGCUGGGACCUGCACUCUGCUAAUCCCUAUGGGUUAUUCUUUUGGGUGAAUGACUUCCUUUUUUCUCAUUCUGUACCUAGCUCAAACUUUCCCAGGGGAACCCGACUCCUGAGCAGUGAAUCUGAGCUGAUAUCAUUGUCUUUGGAGACUCUUUUAAGAAUAAGCUGCAGAAGCCACAAGUUUGGAGAUCUCUGGGCUAAAAUGCACUGAUUUUUCCUCCUUUGUCCUUAACAUCCAGCAACAGGGAAAACAAUUUUUACUGCCUUGGGCUUCACUCCCAAUCCCCCCUGGGAGCCACGAUAUGUGCGUAGUAACUGUAAUGAGCUUAAUUAGUAAUAAUACAAGAAUCACUCAAUAACCACAGCAAUGAACUGUAGGCACUGCUACACUGGCACAGCAAUGAACUGUAGGCACUGCUGCACUGCUGUUCCUCUGGAAGGAGCCCGGCAGCAAAUGCUGCUCCCAGGCGUCUGUCAGGUCUUGUGCAGGAAGGCUGAGCCAGUGAGCAGAGUCUGUCACCGUGAGUGUCCCCGUGCAGGGCGUGGACCCUC